CCUUGCUGGGUCAUUUUUUCUCUGUCCCACCUUGGGGGCUGAAUUUAGAUCACUUGCUUUCUCCUGCAGGCUCCAGGCAGAGCUCUGCCAGCCAGGCUUUGGGAUGGAUACAGAUAAUAUAUUCUUUUGAAGCACAGGCAAACUGUGAAGUGAUGCUCUGAUCAGCUCCCGGCUGUGAAGGUCUCCUGUCUGUCCCCUCCUUUCCCCAAACAGCAAACACUGGAGAAGGUCACAGCAAGUGCUGAAGGCUGCGGAACGGCGGAGCAGAGGGUGACCUCAUGUGAACGUGGAUCCACAGACCUGCCCUGGAAUCCAGAUUCUGCCUCUUCACAGCUGUUGACUUCACUUCUCUGAGCCUAUGUUUCCUUGUCUAUAACGCCACCCCGUGACACAUCGAGCUUCUAUGACACCCACAGUGAAUCAUUUUUUAAGAGCUUUAUUGUAAAUAUAAUUCACAUGCCAGAUACUUCACCCACUGAAAGUACAAUUCGAUGUUUUUUUUUGCAUAUUACAUUAUUAAAAUUUUGUGGGAAAAUAUAUAUCACAUAAAAUACACCAUUUUGACCAUUUCUAAGUGUACCAAUCAGUGGCGCGAAUUGCAUUAGCGCCUCCUUUACCACGAAAUGAUCUUCUGUGAUGGUUGUGAACCGUCAUUAUCUUCUUGAUUUGUUCUUUCAUGUUAACACAAAUGGUUAAUGACUAAAAAGAGAAGCAUACGUUUCAAUUUUAAGGAUGUUAUUGGAAAUUGGUAAAGUGUUUCACGUGUGAACUAGAAUUUGCACUUAUGAAACAAAAAUAAUGCACUUCGCAGGUCCCGCUGUCACUGCCUUAACCUGUAAACAUGAUUUAAAAUUCCAAGA